UGGACAAAUUAUUAUAUUCGACAGUAUUCGACUGUAUUCACGGCGUGAAAUAGGGGAUUAUACGGUUUUUAAAAGGGAAAGUGAAUCAAUUAACAUGAUAGACUCCU
rnacentral:pre_miRNA from 1 species